UGUUCCGUCCCACGUUUGGUAUGCCAAAAAUUGGUGGAACGCGCUGUUCCAUGGGACAGAAAUUUGGUGUUUUUGCGUCCCGCCUUCCCCCUGGAACGGGUUGUUCCACGUAUGUGGAACACAAAAAUUCCACUGUCUACCCUCUCUGUCUCUCCCGCAACCUCCCUCUCCCGUAGCUUCGUUACCCUCCCUCUCUCCUGUAGCCUCCUCCUCCUCCUCCUCCUCCUCUACCUCAAACCCAGCUGCAUCUUCCUCGACCUCAACGCUCCCUCCACCACAGACUCACGUUCUGGGGAGUUCGCGACGAUUCAUCUUCAUCUUCGUCCCAUCUUUUUUCUCUGCCACUGCCUUUUCCCGUAGCCUUCCCCUCAUCCUCUCCCGUAGCAGCUGCAUCUCCAUGUUCGAUCUCGAUCUUCUCCCUUAGCAGCUGCAUCUCUAGGUUCGAUCUCGAUCUUCUUCAGGAGUCGCUGCAUCUUUCAGCUCCAGUCUGCAAUUAUGCGAAAGGAAAAUGGGUUGUGGACCAUAAGAAGCUGCUGUAUUCUGGGCAUGGUUGUAAGCAAUGCCUGUCAAGUAUGUGGUCUUGCCGGAUGACAAAGUGCAUAGAUUUUUCCUAUGAGAAGGUUUCAUGGCAGCCAAAAGAUUGUCAAAUGGAAGAAUUUGAAGGCUAUAAGUUCUUGAAAAGACUAUACAUUUAUACAAUGCUCGCGCUCAAUGGGUACCUGUGUAUUUCUGGGAUUCCUGUUUUGCUGCUGUAUCUCCCAAUCAAGAGUACAAUGGUUCCUUUUUUGAAGGCUAUAUGAAUCAACAGACCACAAUACAAUGGCUCCUUUGGAGAAUCGGUUUGAAAGGGAAAUAGAAGCAGACUUUUCUGAUUGUGAUUUGCGUAGUUUUUCUGUUUUAUUAUUACUUACCCAUGCUCUUUGCUUUUCGUUUUAUAGGUCUCCAUGUAUGUUGUUGCAACACAUUAGUUCUGUUGGGAUUGUAGGGAUAAGUUAGUUGGUUAGUAGCUUAUGAGUGAAGCAAAGAAUACUUGUAUAAAUAACAAACACCUCUCUCUCUCGCUCUCUCUCUGUAAUUCAUUCAUUGUUCAAGGAAUACAAUCUUUAGUCAGUCA